rnacentral:lncRNA from 1 species
GAAAACUUCAAAAAAACCCCCCUGUGGUUUCAUGCUUUCUCGCUUUAGUAUCCUGUGGUUUCAUGCUUUCUCGCUUUAGUAUCCUGUGGUUUAAAACGUAUCAAUUUGCCCCCCUGUGGUUUCGUUUUUCUCUUUUUGUUAUCAAUUUUAUUAUUAUUUUUUUCUUAAAUCAGUGACAAAGUUAAAAUUAAAGGAUACUAAAGUGAAUAUUCGAUAAACAUAGAUGGUUAUCUGAAGUUUUUUGUAUAUAAUUUAACGAAAUAUUAACGAAAAAGCUUCCGAAAAAAUAAAAAUGAAACCACAGAGAGGCAAAUUGAUACGUUUUAAACCACAGGGUACUAAAGUAAGAAUGCACGAAACUACAGGGGGGUUUUUGAAGUUUUCCCUUUUUUUCUUUAACACCACCAACCACAA